UAAUAAGUGUUUUAUGGCACUUUUUAAAUCCAUAUCCACCUUGUGUGCAAUGUCAGUCGAUCUUUUUAUGGAGGAUCGACCAAACAUCAACCUUUAUCUUUUAACUCUUUGUCUGAAAAAUAUUAUGAAUAAACAAUUCAAAAUA
rnacentral:misc_RNA from 1 species